rnacentral:lncRNA from 1 species
GCCAUUAUACCUUCAGCUACGAAAUUCAGAAAACAGUCCAUUUUUCUUUUCCUUUUAAGCUUCAAGUUAGUUUCUGCAGUCAUAUAUACAAAAAAUACAAAAACAAAAUACAGAAAAUAGAAAGUCAUUGUUUCAUUAGAAUUUUAGGCUAAUUUUGAUAUUCUAGUUCAUAAUUUCCACUUCCUGAUUCUCUAGCUCUUGGUUGAAGUUUCUAGGUGAUUCACAGUUGAUUUCGAACAAAUUUUGGGUUCAUUCACUUUGUGUUUGGUUGUUUGUUGUUGCUGCUGGUUUUGUUUCAAAUUCUGGGUUGGAUUUAGAGUUUCUGGGUUGGAUUUAGAGUUAAAUAGGUGUUAAGCUGUGUGUGUGGGUGAUCUCUGUUUGCUACUGGGUUUGAAAGCUUUUCUGGGUUGAUUGAAUUGAAUCCGGAAGUGCUGUUGAUUUCUUCCAGUUAUUGCUGUUGAGCUACUGAAUAUUAGUUGGUUACUAGCAGCUGAUUUCUUCUCUUUCUUUUCUGUUUUGUUUCCAGGUACAUGGUUUAAACUCAUCCUGAUGUAACUUCAAAAUUGAGUGGAAUGAAGUCAUGCUUCCCUGAUCUAGCUUGUUUAUUUGUGUGAAUCAUAGAUAGUCAACAAAUAUGAAAUUUGGUUGGUUUUUUGGACUUGCUAGAAUUAGGGAUUGGUUUGGAUUUGAACUUUUGUAUUGAAUCUGUUAGGCUGUAGACUAAAUUUUGAGUAUUUAAGUUGGUAAUUAGUAGUAUCUAUUUGCUGCAUUUUAGUUACUCGUAUAAAGCAUGUCAAGUUUGAGUAAUG